GGCUCAAGCACUUUGACGGGUAGAUGGCACUCAGGUCAGUACCCCUAAAUGGGGAGGCUCUGGCCAGUCACUGCCUUGGCUCUGGGAGCCUGGACUAUAUUUGGAACUCUUAGGGGCCCUGGGUCAUUGUGAAGUCUCCAGCGAGGAAUCUGCCUCUCAUUUGCUUGGAUGAAACACUGUUGAGCAGUUUGGGCUGUGCUGGUUCUGAAGAGUGAAGCAGCAUUGCAGGGAUCUUGUUCCAGCCCUGUUUCUGGGACUCCUCUACUACCACAGCCUGCUGGCCCACAGACCUCCUUCUCCUCUGCAUCCCGGUGGUCCUGACUCAGACCUUCUACAUUGUCACUUAGCAUUCACAACUCGCCAUUGAUCAAUGUCCCCCUUGGGAUCCUGUCUCACCAGGAGAACAAGUUGUACCAGCCUGUGCCCUUGGAUGCCAUUCCAGGCAGCAAUUCUGAAGACAGCUCUGGGGCUCCUCAGGUCUCUCUGCAGUGCUCCUCCUUCCCCUCUGCCUCCACUGCCCCAUCUCACCAGCCCUCCCCACCAACAUUUCCUCCAAGCCUCAACAAGUCACCCAAGAGUAUUCUAAGGUCCCUGCUGGUCUAUCUGACAAUAUGCAGAUAGGCCUUGGUUGCCUUGGCUGGCUGUGACCUUGCUGACAUCUAUAGACAGAGAGGUGGGAAUGAAAGACACAUUACUCCUGGAUGUUGGUGGAGAAGGUGGUGGUUGCAGUUGCUACGCAAGAGUCACCAGGCUGCAGACUCUGUCCACUUCUGAGAGUGCAAUGUCCCCUGUGAUUGGCUGGGAUUUCUGAGCUUUUCAGCUUGCAUAUGGUGAGAAUGUUGGCACACCGCAGCCCUGAGGGCCUGGGCUUUGGACUCCGGCAGUCCCACAUGUGUGUGCUACCUCUGCCGCUCUCUGGUUGUAUGAAGUCAAGCAAUGUCUGUAACCUCACUGAGUCACAGCGCUCUGCUCUGUAGAAUGGAGAUGGGAUCCUCUCUACCUCCUGCAGUGUCUGUGAAUGCCAUAACACAAGCCAGAGUGCUGAGCACCGUGCCCACCCUAGAAGAGGGCUCGGUGUAUAGUAGCAGCUCUUAAUGCUCCCAGGAUGCCUAAUAAAUUCUUUCAGAAAAGUAUGUGCCCGUGUGUGUGGUUUUUAUUUGGCCAACCCAAGAGCUCUACUACUUCCCUUUUCUAAAGGCUAAAGGCAGGAGUGUGUAGAAUCUCUUUUUCAUGGUUA
rnacentral:lncRNA from 1 species